UGGUGAUGAUGUAUAAUCUCACGAUGGUCUGCAGAGCCCUUGAGUGAACGGGGCAUUGCUGAAAACGCCAACCUGGCACUCACUGAACCAAAGAG
ensembl:snoRNA